rnacentral:rRNA from 1 species
UACAGAGGUCUCGAGCGUUGUUCGGAUUCAUUGGGCGUAAAGGGUGCGUAGGUGGCGCUGUAAGUCGGGUGUGAAAUCCUGAGGCUUAACCUCGGAACUGCAUUCGAUACUGCGGCGCUUGAGGACUGGAGAGGAGACUGGAAUUCAUGGUGUAGCAGUGAAAUGCGUAGAUAUCGUAAGGAAGACCAGUGGCGAAGGCGGGUCUCUGGACAGUUCCUGACACUGAGGCACGAAGGCCAGGGGAGCAAACGGG